rnacentral:rRNA from 1 species
CAGUAGCGGCGAGCGAACGCGGAUUAGCCCUUAAGCUUGUGAAUGAUUAGGAGAACGGUCUGGGAAGGCCGGCCAUAGUGGGUGAUAGCCCCGUAUCCGAAAAUCUGAUCAGGUGAAAUCGAGUAGGUCGGAGCACGUGAAACUCUGACUGAACAUGGGGGGACCAUCCUCCAAGGCUAAAUACUCCUGGCUGACCGAUAGUGAACCAGUACCGUGAGGGAAAGGCGAAAAGAACCCCGGAGAGGGGAGUGAAAUAGAACCUGAAACCGUGUACGUACAAGCAGUCGGAGCCCUCUUUGUGGGGUGACGGCGUACCUUUUGUAUAAUGGGUCAGCGACUUAAUUUCAGUAGCGAGGUUAACCGUUUAGGGGAGCCGUAGGGAAACCGAGUCUUAAUAGGGCGUUUAGUUGCUGGGAUUAGACCCGAAACCGGGCGAUCUAUCCAUGGGCAGGUUGAAGGUGCGGUAACACGCACUGGAGGACCGAACCGACUACCGUUGAAAAGUUAGCGGAUGACCUGUGGAUCGGAGUGAAAGGCUAAUCAAGCUCGGAGAUAGCUGGUUCUCCCCGAAAGCUAUUUAGGUAGCGCCUCGGACGAAUACCACUGGGGGUAGAGCACUGUUUCGGCUAGGGGGUCAUCCCGACUUACCAAACCGAUGCAAACUCCGAAUACCAGUGAGUACUAUCCGGGAGACACACGGCGGGUGCUAACGUCCGUCGUGAAGAGGGAAACAACCCAGACCGCCAGCUAAGGUCCCCAAAUUCCAGUUAAGUGGGAAACGAUGUGGGAAGGCUCAGACAGCUAGGAGGUUGGCUUAGAAGCAGCCACCCUUUAAAGAAAGCGUAAUAGCUCACUAGUCGAGUCGGCCUGCGCGGAAGAUGUAACGGGGCUCAAACUGGAUACCGAAGCUGCGG